rnacentral:rRNA from 1 species
CCUACGGGCGGCUGCAGUGGGGAAUAUUGCACAAUGGGCGCAAGCCUGAUGCAGCCAUGCCGCGUGUGUGAAGAAGGCCUUCGGGUUGUAAAGCACUUUCAGCGGGGAGGAAGGCGUUAAGGUUAACAACCUUGUCGAUUGACGUUACCCGCAGAAGAAGCACCGGCUAACUCCGUGCCAGCAGCCGCGGUAAUACGGAGGGUGCAAGCGUUAAUCGGAAUUACUGGGCGUAAAGCGCACGCAGGCGGUCUGUCAAGUCGGAUGUGAAAUCCCCGGGCUCAACCUGGGAACUGCAUUCGAAACUGGCAGGCUAGAGUCUUGUAGAGGGGGGUAGAAUUCCGGGUGUAGCGGUGAAAUGCGUAGAGAUCUGGAGGAAUACCGGUGGCGAAGGCGGCCCCCUGGACAAAGACUGACGCUCAGGUGCGAAAGCGUGGGGAGCAAACAGGAUUAGAUACCCCUGUAGUC